GCUCCGCCCUUUCCCCGCCCAGAGCCUGUCUCCAGGCCCUCGCUUCCGUACUCUGCCCUCUCGUACUUCUGGCCCAGUAGAGGAGAGGUUCUGCAAUCCUAAAACUUAAGCCUGUUCCACCUCAGCUUCUACAAUAUUCUGAGAUUCCUGGUGUGCGCCACUAAUCCAAGUCAGCAAUUUAGUAUGCUUUCGCUGCAAUGAGGAAGAAAGGAAAUUUAAGAGUCUUUCUCUGGUUCUAGGUUCCUUCCCUGUCUGAGUUCCUCUCCUGACUGCCUUCAGUGAUGG